rnacentral:rRNA from 1 species
AGUGAACGCUGGCGGUAGGCCUAACACAUGCAAGUCGAACGGCAGCACAGUAAGAGCUUGCUCUUACGGGUGGCGAGUGGCGGACGGGUGAGGAAUACAUCGGAAUCUACUUUUUCGUGGGGGAUAACGUAGGGAAACUUACGCUAAUAUCGCAUACGACCUACGGGUGAAAGUAGGGGAUCUUCGGACCUUGCGCGAUUGAAUGAGCCGAUGUCGGAUUAGCUAGUUGGCGGGGUAAAGGCCCACCAAGGCGACGAUCCGUAGCUGGUCUGAGAGGAUGAUCAGCCACACUGGAACUGAGACACGGUCCAGACUCCUACGGGAGGCAGCAGUGGGGAAUAUUGGACAAUGGGCGCAAGCCUGAUCCAGCCAUACCGCGUGGGUGAAGAAGGCCUUCGGGUUGUAAAGCCCUUUUGUUGGGAAAGAAAAGCAGCAGGUUAAUACCCCGCUGUUCUGACGGUACCCAAAGAAUAAGCACCGGCUAACUUCGUG